rnacentral:lncRNA from 1 species
CAAUUUUUUCACGCUCCCUCUCUUCUUUCUCUGCCCUCUCAGUUUCUCUUCUUUCAAACUCCUUUUCUGUAUUUCUCUCUCAGUUUCUUUGCAUCGAUCUCCCUCCUCCUCCUCCUCAUCUCUUUCUCUCUUCCCUUUCCCUAACAAUUCAAAAAUCGAGGCCCAAAAGCCCUAUUUACUACUCUCAUCUGAUAUCUCUUUCAUUUUCCUCUUCGUUGUGUCCCUCUCUUUUCGUGGUGGUGGAGGAAAAGGUAGUAAUCUCGCAAAGUCAUACUGGUGCUCAAAGAUUGGAUUUUUACUGCUACCCAUCUGGUUGUUCCUGCCGUUCUCUAUCUGCAUCAAUAUCUUUAAUUAUGACUUGUUUUUUUCAUUUUUGAUUACUUGUUUUUCAAUUUCUUUUCUUCAUUAAUUAAUUUGGUCUGUUUUGUUUUGGUUCGAUUUUGUCCUCUUUAAUUAAAUUUGGCAGGCCUUUUUUAAAAUUGUAAUUGGCUUUGAGAUUGGACAAAGGUUGGCUUUCGUGAUUCUGUAGAGGUUAGUAAUCAAGGUUUAAAAAAAAUCUUAAUCUGUAAGUGUAUGUAUAGUUAUACAGUGUAUGGUUAAAUGGAUGAUUAUGAUUGGUAUUGGUUGUUGUGAUUGCCUUAAUUGCUAUGGUUACUGAAAAAAUAUGUGCAACUAAAUGUCUUUGGUUUUUUAAUUAUGGAUUUUUGUAUACUAUUUGGCUUUCUAAUGCUCUCCUUCGUUCUCUGUGCAGGUUGUUUUUCCCCUCCAAUUUGCAUUUGCAUUGCAAAAUUAUUAUGCUGAGAACAAAUGUUUGAGUUUAUUGUUUUUAAGAAUGAAGUUCGUUAAUUAUGUUUAUUUUGAGUUCAGUUCUUCUCUUGAAUUUAAAUUCUUUAUUGCCUUGUUUCAACUUUUUGAUGUAUAAAAAAAAAUUGGAAAUUUUUAUUUUUAUCCAAAUUCUAUUACUUGGAGGAGGUAUACAAUGUACAUACAUGCUACUUGGUCUUCCAAUGUAAUCUUGACAUUUGUCUCAAUUUUCCUCUGUUAUUUCUACAUCAUAAUAAACCCAUAUUCUUUGUUUACUCAUGAGUUCAGAGAAAAUUCUCAAUUUGGUUUACUUUCUUAUUUUUGGCAUCAGGUUUUACAAGAAUUGGCUUCUUCAUACUUUUCCUACCUUAAUUUGAUUUUACUUUUAUCACUGAAGUAGUGCAGGGAAAAGUUUGGAGAAGUUGAUGGAGGAGUGUUGAGAGAGAGCAGAUACUUGUGAAUUAAUUGCAGGAAAGCAUUCAAAGUCUUGAAAGGCAGUCCUCACCAGUGGAAGAAUUGUCCCAGAUUUUGAAAAGAGCAAAUAAUUUCUUGCAUUUUGUGUUGCAGAAUGCACGACCUCACUGAUCACUUUUUAAUUUUUGUUCAUAAUUUUCUGUUUUAGGAUCAAGAAUUGCUGUAUCUGUUUAUCUAUAAUCACUUCCCAAGUUUGCAAGAGGAGGUAAUUAAUUGCCACUGAAGUUCUUAUUCAAGGUUUGGUAGGAUUGCUGCAUAACUUCAAUGUAAUUUAAAAGGAGGUAAUUACUGCCUUGCUUAAGUGACACUCUGACACUAAACCACCUUAAUUAUAUCAUGUUCUUUCUUCUUGCCAGCACAUUAUAGGAAGAACAGAUGUUGAGAUUUUUACCGGGGCCGGCGUUAAGGAAUCUCAAGACUUCAAGGAGGUUCUGGAAAAACAGGUUACCUGCAAAAAGGGCGAUUACAUUUGAGACACCAUUAUUUGGGUCAAAAACAUUUUUGAUAUAUGUGGAGCCCGUCUUCAACAAGGCAUGAGAGACAUUUGGUAUAAAUUACAUGGGGAUGGAUGUCACUGAUCAGGUAGUUGCAUUUUGUAUGUUUUAGAGUUCAAUUCAAGACUUUUCUUUUGAUCACUAAAGGGUAUUUGUGUUUCUUCUGCACAAACAACAGGCGAGGAAAAGAAAAAAGAUGGCAAAGCUUAGUGAGGAAAUCGCAGUCCAAAAACCAAAGGAACUUAUAGUAAUUUUACGUAUAUUUUUAUAAUUUUUAAAAAUUAUAAAUUUUAUAAGUAAUGCAAUAAAAUAAUAGUUAAAUGACACAAGUUAGAAACUCAAUGCUGUAGUAUCACUUGUUUGCCACCAAAAUAUGUUUCAUAAAAGCUUUAAAAGGAUUCACUAGAGCUUCAACAUCGCUUCAUUUACUAUUCAAUAAAGCUUCAAAAUAUUAAUUUUAUUUUUUGACUAAGAAGUCUUCAUUAGUAUUUUUAUGAAUUUUUUAAGAUGAACUCAAAAGACAUAGAAAGUGUCAGAUUGAGUUUGUAGAAUUUUUUGGUGUGUAUUUUUAUGCUAUUUAAUGAAUUAUUAUGAUUUUUGAAAGUUAAAGCAUUCAAAAAUAGUAAUAAACGAAAGAGAU